GUACCUACGGGGGCAGCAGUGAGGAAUAUUGGUCAAUGGGCGCGAGCCUGAACCAGCCAAGUCGCGUGAGGGAUGACGGCCCUACGGGUUGUAAACCUCUUUUGUCGGGGAGCAAAUUCCGCCACGUGUGGCGGAGUCGAGAGUACCCGAAGAAAAAGCAUCGGCUAACUCCGUGCCAGCAGCCGCGGUAAUACGGAGGAUGCGAGCGUUAUCCGGAUUUAUUGGGUUUAAAGGGUGCGUAGGCGGACUGUCAAGUCAGCGGUAAAAUACGGGGGCUCAACCUCCGCCCGCCGUUGCAACUGGCA
rnacentral:rRNA from 1 species